rnacentral:rRNA from 1 species
GUGGGGAAUUUUGGACAAUGGGCGCAAGCCUGAUCCAGCAAUGCCGCGUGCAGGAUGAAGGCCUUCGGGUUGUAAACUGCUUUUGUACGGAACGAAAAGCCCUGGGUUAAUACCCUGGGGUCAUGACGGUACCGUAAGAAUAAGCACCGGCUAACUACGUGCCAGCAGCCGCGGUAAUACGUAGGGUGCGAGCGUUAAUCGGAAUUACUGGGCGUAAAGCGUGCGCAGGCGGUUUUGUAAGACAGAGGUGAAAUCCCCGGGCUCAACCUGGGAACUGCCUUUGUGACUGCAAGGCUAGAGUACGGCAGAGGGGGAUGGAAUUCCGCGUGUAGCAGUGAAAUGCGUAGAUAUGCGGAGGAACACCGAUGGCGAAGGCAAUCCCCUGGGCCUGUACUGACGCUCAUGCACGAAAGCGUGGGGAGCAAACAGGAUUAGAUACCCGUGUAGUCC